ACGGAAGGCAGCAGUGGGGAAUAUUGGACAAUGGGGGAAACCCUGAUCCAGCGACGCCGCGUGAGUGAAGAAGUAUUUCGGUAUGUAAAGCUCUAUCAGCAGGGAAGAUAAUGACGGUACCUGACUAAGAAGCCCCGGCUAACUACGUGCCAGCAGCCGCGGUAAUACGUAGGGGGCAAGCGUUAUCCGGAUUUACUGGGUGUAAAGGGAGCGUAGACGGAAGGCCAAGUCUGAUGUGAAAACCCAGGGCUCAACCCUGGGACUGCAUUGGAAACUGGUCAUCUAGAGUGCAGGAGGGGUAAGCGGAAUUCCUAGUGUAGCGGUGAAAUGCGUAGAUAUUAGGAGGAACACCGGUGGCGAAGGCGGCUUACUGGACUGUAACUGACGUUGAGGCUCGAAAGCGUGGGGAGCAAACAGGAUUAGAUACCCUGGUA
rnacentral:rRNA from 1 species